AACGAACGCUGGCGGCAUGCCUAACACAUGCAAGUCGAACGAGACCUUCGGGUCUAGUGGCGCACGGGUGCGUUACGCGUGGGAACCUGCCCUUAGGCUCGGAAUAACUCCCCGAAAGGGGUGCUAAUACCGGAUAAUGUCUUCGGACCAAAGAUUUAUCGCCUUUGGAUGGGCCCGCGUUGGAUUAGCUAGUUGGUAGGGUAAAAGCCUACCAAGGCGACGAUCCAUAGCUGGUCUGAGAGGAUGAUCAGCCACACUGGGAAUGAGACACGGCCCAGACUCCUACGGGAGGCAGCAGUGGGGAAUAUUGGACAAUGGGCGAAAGCCUGAUCCAGCAAUGCCGCGUGAGUGAUGAAGGCCUUAGGGUUGUAAAGCUCUUUUACCCGGGAUGAUAAUGACAGUACCGGGAGAAUAAGCUCCGGCUAACUACGUG
rnacentral:rRNA from 1 species